GAGUCAUUAUUUGGGGCACCUCUCGGUAUUUUUACCCCACAUACAUACAAUCAAAUUCUUUUUUCAAAUUUAUACACUCUUUUGAUGAUAAAUUCGUCGGAGGAAUGUAUACAGAUCGAUGCACUCCAAGGAAGUAAGAAGAGAGAAGAUAAGUCUACGCCACAGCUGCUGUUCGACGGUUUUCGGCCGAUGCCUUGUCUUCUCCAUUGUCUUCGUUCUCGGAUGCACACACAUGAUGAUUAAUGUGAUGCCACGUGCUUGGUUGAUGUCGUUGGGAAUAAUGAGUAUGUCACAUGACGUUAUUGAUUCGAUCGGGCCACGCGCGGUGGCAAUAAUAUGUUCUGUGCACCAUAUCUACUCAUGGGGCUAUAAGGCCAGGCGGUUUAUGAUAUUUGAUUAUUUGCCCCAUGAGCUAUACGGCCAGGCGGUAUAAGUACGUGGGUGCACCAUGUUCACUCAUGGGGCUAUAAGGCCAGGCGGAUCAAUAUGAUGAUGAAUUGCCUCAUGAGUUAUAAGGCCAGGAGGUACAUGUAUGAAUGCACUAUGUUGCAGCUUAUUCGAUCGGUCCACACGCGGUGGAAAUACUAUAUGAUUCGAUCGGGCCUCACGCGGGGGCAUAUUAUUGUUUGAGUACUCAUGUUGUCGCCAAGCACAUGGAUAAGAGCUUAAUGAGGUGAUGCGUGUGCGGAUGUUGAACCUGAUUAUGUGUGAUUGACUGACAGUGAUUUAAUUUGGUGAAUUAUUUGUAUAUUCAAAUGAAUAGACUGAGCACAUUGAUGGAGCUAUGAAUGCGAUGUGUGAAAUAAGCAUGAUAUGGUUGUGAUAUGUGAUUUGCGAUGGCUAUGUGCUUAUUGAUGUUUA